AACGAACGCUGGCGGCAUGCCUAACACAUGCAAGUCGAACGAGACCUUCGGGUCUAGUGGCGCACGGGUGCGUAACGCGUGGGAACCUGCCCUUAGGUUCGGAAUAACUCCCCGUAAGGGGUGCUAAUACCGGAUAAUGUCUUCGGACCAAAGAUUUAUCGCCUUUGGAUGGGCCCGCGUUGGAUUAGCUAGUUGGUAGGGUAAAAGCCUACCAAGGCGACGAUCCAUAGCUGGUCUGUGAGGAUGAUCAGCCACACUGGGACUGAGACACGGCCCAGACUCCUACGGGAGGCAGCAGUGGGGAAUAUUGGACAAUGGGCGAAAGCCUGAUCCAGCAAUGCCGCGUGAGUGAUGAAGGCCUUAGGGUUGUAAAGCUCUUUUACCCGGGAUGAUAAUGACAGUACCGGGAGAAUAAGCUCCGGCUAACUCCGUG
rnacentral:rRNA from 1 species